GCGGGGAUAACUCAAUAGGUAGAGUAUCAGCCUUCCAAGCUGAAUGUUGCGGGUUCGAUUCCCGUUCCCCGCUCCA
rnacentral:tRNA from 1 species